ensembl:lncRNA
GGGCUUUCCCCAACGCAACAGCUUCUCCUCCCACUGACACCAACACCACUGCUGGCUCACCAACCAGCACCAUUGCUGGCUUACCAACCAGAACCACUGCUGGCUUACCAACCAGAACCACUGCUGGCUCACCAUCCAGCACCACUGCUGGCUCACCAUCCAGCACCACUGCUGGCUCACCAACCAGCACCACUGUUGGCUCACCAACCAGCACCACUGCUGGCUCACCAACCAGCACCACUGCUGGCUCACCAACCAGAACCACUGCUGGCUCACCAACNCCAGCACCACUGCUGGCUCACCAACCAGCACCACUGCUGGCUCACCAACCAGAACCACUGCUGGCUCACCAACCAGCACCACUGCUGGCUUACCAACCAGAACCACUGCUGGCUCACCAACCAGCACCACUGCUGGCUCACCAACCAGCACCACUGCUGGCUCACCAACCAGAACUACUACUGGCUCACCAACCAGAACUACUACUGGCUCAACAACCAGAACUACUACCUGCUCACCAACCAGCACUACUGCAUCAGACCCUGGCUCUCCUUCAGAGACACACCAACCAUCCAUUGGAGUGCCUGCAAAUCCCACUGGCCUGUCUACAACCAGAGAAUCUUUAGACUUCAACUCAACAAAACCUGGCAUUGCAUCCACCUUCUACAGAGUUAAUAUGAAACUGAAUAUGACAACGACUGUAACUGGCAACGACCCAGGGGAGACCAUUCAGAAGUGGGUUCAGAGAAACCUUGGGAAAGUCAAGAUGAACGUAUUAAACAUCAAUAUUUUAAACUCGACUUAUAAAGUCAAUGAUCAUAAAAAGAUUCAAGAACUGGAGAUGGUGAGGCUGUUUUAAAAACAAAUGACUGUAUCAACAUUGGAAAUUGAUUUAGGGUGUAACUACAUUUAAUCAUAAUCGCAGCAGUAAGGAACCAGUUAUACUAUUGCGAAAAUUAAUGAGCAUAAUCUUUAUUACCACACUGUAAGUUUAUGGCUUUCAAUAUGAGUAAACAAUUUAUUGCCCACUAGUCAUUAAUUGUUUUUGGUUAAGUAAGAUGUAUAGUGCAUAUUUCAUUGUGGUGUCUUCUCUGUUAGACUGCUGAGCUGAGACAUGAGACAAGGUAAGAGAUGAUAAAAAAGGUAAGAGAUGAUAAGAAUGGAAAGAGAUGAUAAAAAAGUUAAGAGAUAUAAGAAUGGAAAGAGAUUAUAAAAAAGGUAAAAGAUGAUAAAGAAUGGAAAGAGAUGAUAAAAAAAGGUAAGAGAUGAUAAGAAUGGAAAGAGAUUAUAAAAAAGGUAAGAGAUGAUAAAAAAAGGUAAGAGAUGAUAAGAAUGGAAAGAGAUUAUAAAAAAGGUAAGAGAUGAUAAGAAUGGAAAAAGAUGAUAAAAAAGGUAAGAGAUGAUAAGAAUGGAAAGAGAUGAUAAAAAUGGAAAGAGAUGAUAAAAAAGGUAAGAGAUGAUAAGAAUGGAAAGNAGAGAUGAUAAAAAAGGUAAGAGAUGAUAAGAAUGGAAAGAGAUGAUAAAAAAGGUAAGAGAUGAUAAGAAUGGAAAGAGAUGAUAAAAAAGGUAAGAGAUAUAAGAAUGGAAAGAGAUGAUAAGAAUGGAAAGAGAUGAUAAAAAAGGUAAGAGAUAUAAGAAUGGAAAGAGAUGAUAAAAAAGGUAAAAGAUGAUAAAGAAUGGAAAGAGAUUAUAAAAAAGGUAAGAGAUGAUAAAAGAGGUAAGAGAUUCUUUAAAAAAGUCAAAAAACUGUUGCCAUUUUGUUAUGUAGACUUGAUAGAUAUUGAUACUAACAUGUUGUGUUUUGUUUUUCCCCAACUUGUUUUAGUAUGCUGUUGACAUCUCAGUAACCAUUUUUUUUACUGAAUCUAUUUUUUUAAAUGUACCUUUUAUUUAACUAGGCAAGUCAGUUAAGAACAAAUUCUUAUUUACAAUGACAGUCUACCAGGGAACAGUGGGCUAACUGCCUU